rnacentral:rRNA from 1 species
CCGCGUGUGGUAGAUAUAUUGCCUUCGGGUUGUAAAGCACUUUUGUCCGGAAAGAAAUGGCUCUAGGUUAAUACCUGGGGUCGAUGACGGUACCGGAAGAAUAAGGACCGGCUAACUACGUG